rnacentral:rRNA from 1 species
AACGUGGGUAACCUGCCUUAUAGUGGAGGAUAGCCCUUCGAAAGGAAGAUUAAUACCGCAUAAGAUUGUAGUAUCGCAUGAUAUAGCAAUUAAAGGAGCAAUUCGCUAUAAGAUGGACCCGCGUCGCAUUAGCUAGUUGGUGAGGUAAUGGCUCACCAAGGCGACGAUGCGUAGCCGACCUGAGAGGGUGAUCGGCCACAUUGGGACUGAGACACGGCCCAGACUCCUACGGGAGGCAGCAUG